rnacentral:misc_RNA from 1 species
GCUCCGUAGGUGAACCUGCGGAGGGAUCAUUACAGAGUUCUCGCCCUCGCGGGUAGAUCUCCCACCCACUGUUAUCGUUACUGUGUUGCUUUGGCGGGCCGCCGGGCCCCGCUCGGCCGCCGGCUCCGGCUGGCGCGCGCCCGCCAGAGGCCCAGCAAACUCUGAAUGUCAGUGUCGUCUGAGUACUAUAUAAUAGUUAAAACUUUCAACAACGGAUCUCUUGGUUCUG